AGAGUUUGAUCCUGGCUCAGGAUGAACGCUGGCGGCGUGCCUAAUACAUGCAAGUCGAGCGAACGGACGAGAAGCUUGCUUCUCUGAUGUUAGCGGCGGACGGGUGAGUAACACGUGGAUAACCUACCUAUAAGACUGGGAUAACUUCGGGAAACCGGAGCUAAUACCGGAUAAUAUUUUGAACCGCAUGGUUCAAAAGUGAAAGACGGUCUUGCUGUCACUUAUAGAUGGAUCCGCGCUGCAUUAGCUAGUUGGUAAGGUAACGGCUUACCAAGGCAACGAUGCAUAGCCGACCUGAGAGGGUGAUCGGCCACACUGGAACUGAGACACGGUCCAGACUCCUACGGGAGGCAGCAGUAGGGAAUCUUCCGCAAUGGGCGAAAGCCUGACGGAGCAACGCCGCGUGAGUGAUGAAGGUCUUCGGAUCGUAAAACUCUGUUAUUAGGGAAGAACAUAUGUGUAAGUAACUGUGCACAUCUUGACGGUACCUAAUCAGAAAGCCACGGCUAACUACGUGCCAGCAGCCGCGGUAAUACGUAGGUGGCAAGCGUUAUCCGGAAUUAUUGGGCGUAAAGCGCGCGUAGGCGGUUUUUUAAGUCUGAUGUGAAAGCCCACGGCUCAACCGUGGAGGGUCAUUGGAAACUGGAAAACUUGAGUGCAGAAGAGGAAAGUGGAAUUCCAUGUGUAGCGGUGAAAUGCGCAGAGAUAUGGAGGAACACCAGUGGCGAAGGCGACUUUCUGGUCUGUAACUGACGCUGAUGUGCGAAAGCGUGGGGAUCAAACAGGAUUAGAUACCCUGGUAGUCCACGCCGUAAACGAUGAGUGCUAAGUGUUAGGGGGUUUCCGCCCCUUAG
rnacentral:rRNA from 1 species